rnacentral:lncRNA from 1 species
UAUACCGAAAGGGUCUCUGGUUAUUAGCAAAAUAUAAAAUGCAAAAUUUUAGUCAGCAGUGAUUUUUUUCCCCUUGGGCUGAGAUGGCUUCAUGAAAGUUGAAAUUUUUUUAAAAAGGCAAACCUUGAAAACAACAUCUGGUGUUGGGUUCAGAAAUUAGAACCAGAUAUGCUUCCUUAUCCGUACUUCAGUUCACAUGAUUCGCCUGCCAGAAUGGUGACAGGGAAAAGGGGAAUGAGAAGAGAUCUUUGAAAAUCUGCUCUACAUCUUACAAACGAGAAAAUUGAAAUGGAAUGUUUCCCUGUUUUUAAACAGGGUUUUUCAUGGUGGCGUGGACCUUCGGCUCUUCUGUUGAGCUGCAUCUUCAAACUGUGAAGGACUUGAAAUGAAUCACUGGAGACCACCCAACAUCUUUCAGACGUUUAGAUUAAACUCAAAAGCAUAGAAGUGUUCUUAAUAGCUAAAAGGUUAAUACUUUUCAAAUCCCGGGUCAGACUACCCCAGGAGAAAGCCAGAGACACUCUGGUGACCUGGAAAUCCCACAGGCCCCCAGGUGACGUCCCAGGGCUGCUCCUCCACAUUCCACACAUUUUGCUGUCUGGCAAUACCAUGUCAGUUUGAAGCGGAAUGCAGGCUCACACUGUCCCACAGCUGAAAUUCU